UCAUUAAUACUGUUGAAUACUGUAAAUUCUCAUGUCUUCGAGGAAAAAAAUCUCAACAGUAAGCUUCUGUAAAAUCUUACAGUAUAAUACAGUAUUUAUUUUCAUUUUACAGCAAGCUACCGUAUGAUCUUACGGUAUGAUACAGUAUUUUUUAAAAUCAGACUUGAAGCCCCACCCACUGUUGUUUUCUCCCGGUUCUCUCGUCCACUGCGCAGCAUACCCUCAUCCAUCCUGAUCCUGUGGCUUUCUUAAGAAGGCACUUCGUGGGAAUUAACCCUGAGAGGGGAAGAAAGACCAGCCAGGGGAAGGUGGUGUCAAAGAGACAGGGAAGCUGGUCCACAGAAAGACAACAGUCACUCCCCAGGUCUCACUCUCAUAAAAAAUGUGAUGGACUUAGAGUGGGGCUUUAUGUAGCCAAUAUAGUUCAGAUCAAACUGUCAAAUGCCCAAGUUCAUUUUUGGACUAUAUGAUAUGUUUAGUAGUUGAUGUUAAUGGAAUGUGUGAAAUAAAGUUAGCGUUUACUCAG